GUUGUUGUUGUUCACCAGAUCGCGUACUUUACCCACGCCCGAGCCGCCCGACCAGUUGACCCAAGGAGCCAGCUUUAGAGCCAGAGAAGCCAUCAACCCAGAAGUGCCAAUGAGUGAAGAAAUAAUGGAUGAAAAUUUGAUGAAACUUCCCAAAUGUGAUGAAAGAUAUAAUGUAAACAUCCAAGAAGCUCAAUGAGCUCCAAAUCCAGCCCACCCAACACAUCCUCAGCAGGAGUCCAUCCAAAGCAGUACCACAAGCACGGCAGUGUGCAAUCAGUCCUGACAGGGGCCAGCACCACCCCAAAGUGCCUCCUUCCCGGAGUAAAUGGGGAAGAAAAUCACACAUACCAGUUCAACUGCUGAGGGCAGGUAUGUGAUCUGACUGCAGGCCCCACCCAACAACAAAAGCCUCCCAGGGGACCACACAGUGAGAGUACCCUGCAGGUUGGUGCUAUACACCUCUGGAAAACACCUAGUCUGACUCAACUCAAGCCCAAUGUAGCCCCAGACUGGCUCACUAACAACACAGGGACCAAACCCCAUCCACAAUAGGGAAAAAAGAACCAAUGCCGACUGAUGGCAAACAUGGCUCAGCCACAACAGUAGGGUGCAUGUAACACACAUAGGAGACAACUCUGAAGCGCCAGGUUCUGUUGAAUAGGGGACAACACACUACAGGCCACUACUUUUAAGAGCAGGAGAUGUAGCUGACUUUUCUAACCCAUAGAAACAGAUACAGAGAGACAAAAUGAGGAGACAGAGGAAUAUCUCUCAAAUGAAAGAACAGGGCAAAAUCAUAGCGAGAGAGCUGAAUGAAACAGGUAAGUAAUAUGUCUGACAGAAAAUUUAAAGUAAUGGUCGUAAAGAUACUCACUGGAAU